CCUACGGGAGGCAGCAGUGGGGAAUAUUGCACAAUGGGCGCAAGCCUGAUGCAGCCAUGCCGCGUGUAUGAAGAAGGCCUUCGGGUUGUAAAGUACUUUCAGCGAGGAGGAAGGCGAUAAGGUUAAUAACCUUGUCGGUCGACGUUACUCGCAGAAGAAGCACCGGCUAACCCCGUGCCAGCAGCCGCGGUAAUACGGAGGGUGCAAGCGUUAAUCGGAAUUACUGGGCGUAAAGCGCACGCAGGCGGUCUGUCAAGUCGGAUGUGAAAUCCCCGGGCUCAACCUGGGAACUGCAUUCGAGACUGGCAGGCUAGAGUCUUGUAGAGGGGGGUAGAAUUCCAGGUGUAGCGGUGAAAUGCGUAGAGAUCUGGAGGAAUACCGGUGGCGAAGGCGGCCCCCUGGACAAAGACUGACGCUCAGGUGCGAAAGCGUGGGGAGCAAACAGGAUUAGAUACCCGGGUAGUC
rnacentral:rRNA from 1 species